GGUCCCACAUGUCAGCUAUAUCCAAGUCAUCCUCUUCUUCACCGUUGCUCUCAACCCCUUCUUUUCCCCUCUUGCAUCCGAUCUCAUAUCGCCUACUCUCUCUUCGUUCAAUUCCGUUCUCCCCUGAUCCUCCUCCAACAAUCAUGGAUCUCUUAUCUGCAAUUUGAACAUCCUCAUCGGUCAAUUGAAUCCUCACUACACGAGCGGAAUCAGAUGUUCUCCUCCAUGCUUGCUGCCGCCGAGGACCGGUUGGCAUCCCAAUCGCAAGUUCUUCAUGUUGUCGCAAGGCAGGCUUUGGAUUUGGGAGGAUAUUUCGUAGCAUCCAGAUCGACUAAUUUGAUGACGGUUCUAUGGAACAGAACUAAGGACAGCAGUGAAGAUUGUGUUGAUGAUGAGGAAGCUGCAGAUAUUAGAAUGGGAAAGAAUUGGAGCAGUGCCCGCAAGGUGCUCUUGGUUGUUUCCAAAUUUAAUGAGCUGAAAACCUUGCUAAGCUAAUAUACCAACUUUUAUCCAUAGCUGGGAAUCGGGCCGAAUCCAAUCACUGCUGAUCGACCUCUUCAUGUUUAUUCCACUUUUGCUAACAUUAUUCUGGAUUGUUGUCAAGUUUAUGCGUUUUUUCAAUCAUGGUCAAUGCAUCAAACGGCCUAAUGUCUAUUCAUGAAUAGCAAACAAUCUGCUCUAUAUCUAUUUGGAUAUGAACUUGUUGAGUGAUUGUACCAA